AGGGAAUUGUACCCACCACAGCUCAGUGAUCAGUGUGGGUGGAUUAGAAAUCAACUAGACCCCGGGAGCCAGUUCUUGGGUGCAGUAGAAUAGUUCCCCUGUAUGCCGGGAAUAUGACCCGCAUGAGGCACUAGGUGACGACCAAGCAGAGGCAUGAGUCAGAAUGAAAGCAAAAAGAAGACUGCCCUGAUGCCAAAUACUCCAACUGAAGUACGGAAGUAGAUUUACUGGUCCUUUGGGAUGAUGAUGGUGGAAUUUCCGCUGAUAUGAUUGCAUGAGUGAGUCCAGUCUGGUGGGAGAAACCACAGAGUAAUUUGAACAGGUACUAUCCAUCCUCCACGCCCCCACCCCCAAGAUGGGAAAACUCUUAAAAGGACUUCGAAAAAUCUCCUGGACAUGCCACAAUCCAAGGCAAUCUUCUAUCUCCCAACCCUGUUGGAAGUAAUUCUCUCCUUCCCUUCUCUUAUAGCAUCGGUCAUUGUCUCCCCUGCUGGUAUUUAUGAACAUGGCCUAUCUCUGUAUAAGUGAAUCCUAAAAGCAAGAUCCUUAUUUUACUCAUUAUUGAAUAAAAGAUCCUCACUAUUAGGUAAAAAAUCCUGUGGGCAAGAGCCUUAUUUUAAUUAUUAGUGCCUAAAAUACAGUACCUUAUAAAUAGUAGGACUUAAAAAUAUUUAUGAAUAGAAAAGAAAUAAUUGGUCAUUUAUUAGAUGUGUGAA